GCCCGCGCACAGCAAGGAAGACCCAAUGCAGCCAAAAAUAAAUAAAUAUAUAUCACCAACACUUAGUAAUGGGAAAAAUAUAAUCUCUGAAUAUCAGGAUGUUGAAUUCGUCUAGCACCGCACCGAGCAAAAUGAAAGAAUCAAAAGAGGCUUUUAUUAUGUUUUAAAAGAUUUACCGUCUGGAAUGUAGCACCACAGCACAGAGACGGAAGAGAGGCAGUACAGAGAUAGUUAAAAAACCAAAGGGGGCACAGAGAGGGAAAUGGUCAGCUUGCCAGGAGCUGUAGUAACAAGAGUCAUGAACUCAGACCACUCAGUCUGAGCAGGGUUUGUGCCCGGGAGGGGAAGAGAUGGAGGUGGGAAGCGGAGAGGUACCAGUUCACACCAGCAAGUCCGGAAACACUCGUGGAGGUGGUUCAGAUGGAGGGACCGGGAGCCCAUGAUUCAGUGCCAAGUACAGGUGCACCGGAGUCGGGCAACACACAAGACCGCUUUCCGGCUUCCGAUCACCUUGCUGUGCUCUCACAGUGCACUUCCAGGGAUGCCCCUCUGAGAAUGCAAGCAGUUUCUAAUCAUCCUCAGAAGUGCCUUGGGAGAGAGCCAUCGGAGGCCCGGGGACAAGUGAAAAGUUCAACCAAAAGCCAAGGGCAGCUUCUCCCCGGCCGGCCGCGCGGGAGGGAGGCCGAGAUGGCAGAUGAGAUCUCCAAGGCUCAGGCCGCCCGGCCUGGUGGCAACACGAUCUUCGGGAAGAUCAUUCGCAAGGAAAUCACAGCCAAAAUCAUUUAUGAGGAUGACCGGUGUCUUGCUUUCCACGACAUUUCCCCUCAAGCACCAACACAUUUUCUGGUGAUACCCAAGAAACAUACAUCCCCGAUUCCUUCGACAGCAGAUGACGGUGAAAGUCUUCUUGGACAUUUAAUGAUUGUUGGCAAGAAAUGUGCUGCGGAUCUGGGCCUGAAGAAGCGUUAUCGAGUGGUGGCGAAUGAAGGUUCAGAUGGGGGACAGUCUGUCUGUCACGUUCAUCUCCAUGUUCUUGGAGGUUGGCAGAUGAAUUGGCCUCCUGGGUAAGCGUGUUGUAGGGAUAAUUUUCCCUUCUCUAUGCAGUGAUCAGGUCUGCAAGUUCCAAUACGCAAAACAAUACUUUUUUUGCCUGUGUAUGGAGAGAUUGCAGAAAUAAUUUUAAAAACCCAUACACAAUAAAAGACAUUGUUGCAUGGUCUGAA